ACACGGUCUUCCUAAGAAAACCAAGAUCUAGAAUUUCUAGUAGAAUUUUCUUUUGUUCAUCUAAGAAUCAAUUGAUUCUUAAUUCUAAGCUUGAAGUGUAACUGCAUUUUUAUGGGUAAAAGAUCAAUUGUGUGAACCAAGCUGAGUAUCUUCACCAGCCCCUGAGUUGCUGCACUGUGAACUGGGUAUACAGACUGCUAAUGCUUUGUUAGGAGUUCUUUCAACAUGGAAACCACUUGAUACAUCAGCUUUGAAGCAAUGCGGCAUAUGCAUGCUCUAGAAAGGUAAAAUGCUAAGGUCUGUCCCGCUGAAGAGUCCAGUGACCACACCAGUUUCACAUUACAUAGAACACAGCUUCUUCACAACCUCUGACCAUCUCCAUCCUCUGAAGUGGUCCACUGGAUCUAAUGUCCCAACAUGCUGUGCUAUUUGUAACAUGCUGAGGGCUCUGCCCCAC
rnacentral:lncRNA from 1 species